rnacentral:rRNA from 1 species
UACGGAGGGUGCGAGCGUUGUCCGGAAUCACUGGGCGUAAAGGGCGCGUAGGCGGCGCGGUAAGCGUGCGGUGAAAGCCCGGGGCUCAACCCCGGGUCGGCCGUGCGGACUGCCGGGCUCGAGCACUGUAGAGGCGGGUGGAAUUCCGGGUGUAGCGGUGGAAUGCGCAGAUAUCGGGAGGAACACCAAUGGCGGAGGCAGCUCGCUGGGACGGUACUGACGCUGAGACGCGAAAGCGUGGGGAGCAAACAGG